GACGAACGCUGGCGGCGUGCUUAACACAUGCAAGUCGAACGAAGUGGCGAACGGGUGAGUAACGCGGAAUCCACCUGCCCUUCAGAGGGGGACAACAGUUGGAAACGACUGCUAAUACAGCAUACUGAAGGAGGGGUUUGCGUAGGAUGAGCUAGUUGGAGGGGUAACGGCCCACCAAGGCGGUGAUCAGUAGCAGGUCUGAUAGGAUGAUCGUCCACGUUGGUGCUGAGACACGGCCCAGACUCCUACGGGAGGCAGCAGUGGGGAAUCUUCCGCAAUGGACGAGAGUCUGACGGAGCAACGCCGCGUGAGUGAUGACGGCCUUCGGGUUGUAAAGCUCUGUUAAUCGGGACGCGGUACCGGAAUAGAAAGCCACGGCUAACUACGUGCCAGCAGCCGCGGUAAUAC
rnacentral:rRNA from 1 species